UGGCCUGACGACGGUUCAUCCUGAAUAUUCCUUUUGACUCCAUUAUCCGUCAUUGCAAAUAUCAAAGCGGGUGUGGCAACUAACAAUACUGAGGCUGGAGCCAGAAAGAAACACCUACGUUACUAAUUGGUAAAAGUGAAACAACACAGCUGAACAGCGAAGACGCCAUCGACUCCGACUGACCGAACACAGUUCACCUCUUGGAAGUUUUUACGAAAGGCACACAGCGUUAUUAUGUUGUACAUUUGGUAAAAGAGAACACUGUUGAAGUUGUACCAGAGCAGUGGGUGGAGAAGAGAGAUGGGGUCCUGUGUUGCUACUGGCCAAGAAAUGCCAGCGCAACAAUGAUUAAGAGAGGAGACCAGCCUGACAAAAUAUUAUGGGAGAAGUACAGAAUUUCCAUCUUUUCAUCCACUGACAAUUACUCUGUGGCAGAGCAACGAGCCAAACGGGGGGUUGACACCUCCAAUGUUGAAUCUGACGAGGAACCAGCGAAGAGGGUGGUGACUAAACCAAUCAGAUUCCAUGUGGAGCCACCUGAUGAUGAUGAUGGAAGUGAAGCACUCCAGAAACAGACAAAUGAACCCAGACAAGUCCAGCUUCCAGUGCCCCAGCUUCCACCAGCCCCCAGUGGUAAGAACCUGCAUUAGGCUACUAGGUCAUUAAAUGUAUUAUCAGCAAGUUGAUGGGAAGUUUGACACACAUUCAAGUAUGUGGGUGAAGAAAAGCUUACAGUUAAUGCAAGUACUAGUCUUAAAUUGAGACGGCAUGAAAUCAUAACCUAAUGACAGUUGAUAUGACAAGAAAUUACCACAACCAUCUGAUCUUGACAUACUUGAUUAUUAGUCACAUUACCAAAGUGUAACAAUUCUUUAUUUUAUUAGCAACUUCAAGAGCCAGUGUCUUUGAAAAGACCCUACAAGGUACAUAAUGUUUCAAGUCUGAUAAACAAGCCUACUUUCUAAAAGUUCUGUUCCCACCAACUGUAUGGGAUGAACAGGGAAAUAUGUUAAGUGUGUACUGUAAAUGUGGUAACGGUUUGACAUCUGUGAUAUUCUCUGAAGUUGCAGAGGACUUGAGGCCAUGUGCCACCUCAAGCCAGAGCGACAGUAAGUGUCUGGUUGUAGUUUGUUAGGGUAAACAAUUGAAUUGUAUGAAGUAUUAUAGCUUUACAAACCUUUCAAAGUCACUCAAUAGAAUACAAUUACCAUCACAUUUCUGCAUAUUAGGUUAUUUCAAGUCUUAUUUCUACUUUGUGCAUACUGUUAGAACUUUCCAAAUACUUGUAGUGCUGUGUAUGGGUGAAACUUGUAUUUACAACAGUAGUGAAAUCACCAUAUUCUUCUUGGGUAAAACACAAGUGUGAUGCCAUGUUUGUAAAUAUAUGUAUGUAUUUGCCAUCAAACUAAAAGCAUUAUUUAAAACAACAAAUUAUGCUUAGCAUUUAUUUUUGUUGGGAUUCAUUAACCUUCCCACUGAGCUCCUGACUGAGAUCCCUUCACUCUUGGUUCUGUGCCAGUUUCAAAAGCAUGCAAAGUAUGUUUUAAUUUUUUUCCUUCUGUUUUCUCAGUUAGUCAAAGUGGCAGCCAGGAAGAAGCUGGCCAAGACAGAGCAUCAGAAUCAGACCAAGAGCUGCCAUCCCUGCUUGAUGAGCUUGUGGCUUCUGAGAUGCCCGCUGGAUACAUUAAAGAUCUUCAAGCAGUGGAGAUGAGGAUAAUGGUGAAACUGGAGAUGAUCGGUACAGAGUUCAAGACUGUUCUGAACCAAGUUAUGGAGGCCAUAGAGGCCCGGCAGCCAAAGGAGUCGGAAUACUUGGGGCAACUUGAAAUGCUGCAAAACCCUGCAGAAACAAAUGAGGAACUGAAGGAUAUCUGUGAAACACUUAAAGACUCCCACUAUCGAAAGAAAAUGAUCCGAUACCUGACCUUCUGCUGUGGCCUGGACCUGGGCUCAGGAAUCAGACGAACGAUGAGAAAAAUUGGAACAGAGGAGCUGUGGACAGGCUACUCCUUGAAGGGCAGGAAGGGGAAGAGGGCCUUUAAUUAGCUAUCAAUCUAUGAUGCUGUCACAAGAGCGUCCCUGAAAGCACACCCCAAGGCUACCUACCAAGAGGUAGAUGACAAAAUAGCAGACGCUCUCAAACAUGCACCAGCUCGGCUCAAGAGGAAGAGAAAGGAGCGGGUCGAGGAAGCAGUGGAUGAGGAUGGCGCAGCAGCACCUGAAUAAACAUAACAUAGUUAUUCACUUCUAGCUUUAAGCAGUUUUACACUUCUUGAUUGGAGUGCAGUGUUCAUGUUUUUACUG